rnacentral:rRNA from 1 species
AUUGAACGCUGGCGGCAGGCUUAACACAUGCAAGUCGAGCGAGCGGCGGACGGGUGAGUAAUGUCUGGGAAACUGCCUGAUGGAGGGGGAUAACUACUGGAAACGGUAGCUAAUACCGCAUACCAUCGGAUGUCCCCAGAUGGGAUUAGCUAGUAGGUGGGGUGAGGGCUCACAUAGUCGACGAUCCCUGGCUGGUCUGAGAGGAUGAGCAGACACACUGGGACUGAGACACGGUCCAGACUCCUACGGGAGGCAGCAGUGGGGAAUAUUGAACAAUGGGCGCAAGCCUGAUGCAGCCAUGCCGGGUGUAUGAAGAAGGCCUUCGGGUUGUAAAGUACUUUCAGCGGGGAGGCGUUACCCGCAGAAGAAGCACCGGCUAACUCCGUGCCAGCAGCCGCGGUAAUAC